GGAAAAAAUGAGGCGAAGCGGAUGAGGCUCUACUUAGCCACAAGAAAUGCUACACCAUUUUAAAGGCAUAGCACAAAUCCAAGAUCACAUGGGAGUUUUGUCAGUGACUUUUGAAAAGAUUGCUAACAUGGCUAAUCAUUUUAUUUAGUCUCUGGAGAAUGGUGUUGGUACAACCAAUUGAGGAGUUGUGUUUUAAAAAAGAGCUUUUUUAGAAAUAAUGGAGUUUAAAAUGUUGACCCUGCUGACCAUUUUUUCCCACGUUAAUGGCCAUUAUUUUUAUUUGUUUUUAGCUUUGAUUAGCAUGCAAUCUGCAAUAAAAAAUGGUUUUUACUGUUUACAGAUAUUUCAGCCAGGAUGACCGGCAAUCACAAACCAAAACAUGGAGACUGAACUAAAAAAGAUUUGGCAUCAGCACUCAGGAGAUGAGCUUGGGAAGCUGUCCUCCUGUCCUGGGUGCUCCUCUGAUGAAGACAUCCUCCCUGAGAUCUGCUCUCUCUCUCUGACAGAGGCAGUGAAGAAGGUGGGACUAAAGUCUGCACGUUCUCGCCCCUCCCCUCAGUGCUGUCUGUCCUUGGAUCCCUCUCUUACAUCUCUGUUUUCGUUUUUCCUCGCUCCCUUCUUCCCUUCAGAGCACAUUCUCUCGUUUUUGCAGAGAGGUGGCAGCAUUUUAAACCUUGUUAAUCUAAAAAAAA